rnacentral:rRNA from 1 species
UACGGAGGGGGUUAGCGUUGUUCGGAAUUACUGGGCGUAAAGCGCGCGUAGGCGGACUAUUAAGUCAGAGGUGAAAUCCCGGGGCUCAACCCCGGAACUGCCUUUGAUACUGGUAGUCUUGAGUUCGAGAGAGGUAAGUGGAAUUCCGAGUGUAGAGGUGAAAUUCGUAGAGUAUUACGGAGGAACACCAGGUAGGCGAAGGCGGAGCUUACCUGGCUCGAUGACUGCGCUGAGGUGCGAAAGUGUGGGGAGCAAAACAGGAUUGAGAUACCCGCGUAGUCC